CACCGAUGAAUUUGUGAAGGUCAAGGACUUCAUUUCUACCCUCGUCCCCCCAGCUCCCUCUAGAAGUACUCCACCCACGGCUCAGGCGGCAAACGAGCCUACAAUUUUAGCUACUUCAGUGCAUGACGGAAAUGGAGGCGACACCGACCCUGUCCCGGAAUGUGAGGAACCGCAAGUGCAUGGAAGAGGCUUCUCCCCGUUGCCGGUCGAUCAUGACGAAGAUGUGGACAAGGAAA